AGAGUUUGAUCAUGGCUCAGAACGAACGCUGGCGGCAAGGGCUUAACACAUGCAAGUCGAACGCUCGUAGCAAUACGGGAGUGGCGGACGGGUGAGUAACGCGUGGGAACGUGCCCUGAGGUACGGAAUAACUGCGGGAAACUGCAGCUAAUACCGUAUGAGCCCCGUGAGGGGGAAAGAUUUAUCGCCUUAGGAGCGGCCCGCGUCGGAUUAGCUAGUUGUGGGGUAACGGCUUACCAAGGCUUCGAUCCGUAGCUGGUCUGAGAGGACGAUCAGCCACACUGGGACUGAGACACGGCCCAGACUCCUACGGGAGGCAGCAGUGGGGAAUCUUGCGCAAUGGGGGCAACCCUGACGCAGCCAUGCCGCGUGAAUGAUGAAGGCCUUAGGGUUGUAAAGUUCUUUUGCCCGUGACGAUGAUGACGGUAACGGGAGAAUAAGCUCCGGCUAACUUCGUG
rnacentral:rRNA from 1 species